rnacentral:rRNA from 1 species
UUUCGGACCAAAGAUUAAUCGCCCAGGGAUGAGCCCGCGUAGGAUUAGCUAGUUGGUGGGGUAAUUGCCUACCAAGGCGACGAUCCUUAGCUGGUCUGAGAGGAUGAUCAGCCACACUGGGACUGAGACACGGCCCAGACUCCUACGGGAGGCAGCAGUAGGGAAUAUUGGACAAUGGGCGAAAGCCUGAUCCAGCAAUGCCGCGUGAGUGAUGAAGGCCUAAGGGUUGUAAAGCUCUUUUACCGGGGAAGAUAAUGACAGUACCUGGAGAAUAAGCCCCGGCUAACUCCGUGCCAGCAGCCGCGGUAAU